rnacentral:lncRNA from 10 species
CUGGUUGAAGGUGUCCAGGUUCUUGGCACCUUGAACAAAGAAUUGGACACAACGCACAAAUGGAGCAAGGAAAAAAUGAAGCAACAGAAGCAGAUAUUUAUGGAAAAUGAAAGCACACUCCACAGGGUGGGAGGGCCCGAGCAUGGAGAGACCGUUACUGAAGUUUCUGGGGUUUAAAUACCCUCUAGAGGUUUCCAUUGGUUACUUGGUGUACACUCUAUGUAAAUAAAGAGGAUGAAGUAAAAUUACAAAAUCAUGUACUCGGUGUACGCCCUGUGUAAAUGGAGAGGAUAUUUCCUGUCAUAGCCCAAGAGUUUCCAUUUGAUUUAGUUCUCCGAAGUCAGGGUGAAUCGGCCUUAUGUUCCUGCCUCCAGACCCUUUUCUCCUGCCUCCGUGGAAUGGAUGGCAGGACAUGGAAAAGUGUUUUGUCCAAAUGACAUGUCCAAGGGCACUGGCAGCUGAAGGCAAGAGGGAACCAGUUAGUGCCACGGAGGAAUGCCCACCCCCGUCUCCACACCGCACAGAACAAAAAGCAGCUCUGGAAUUUCAUUUAUUGGCAUUAAAAGCAGAAAAUGGUCCUAUAGAGCUCAAUUUAAUGGCAAAGAUUAAGGAAAGAAUAAAGACUCUGCCUAAUAAUGGUGACAUGAGCUGUUCAUAUUGUCAUUUUCUCUGGGACCUAAUAUGGGGGAGGAGGCGGGACCCCGUGUCGCCAGGCCCCAGGUGAUUUUCACACUGUUUCCCCAAAUCACUGCAGCCUCUUCCCUGCUGGUCCCUUGAUGCUGCUGCUGUGCCUGGCGUCCUGUGGGACAAGAGUGCAACAGGGCGCUGGGCACCUUGGCAGCUUCCAGUGGGAUAGGCCUGCGGCAUUCUGAGCCUGAAUGCGGUGAUCACCAGGAAGUAAGGAGACACAAGCAGGAGGGGUUCCAGGAUGGAGGGGCCACUUCUCAGGGAUCAGUCUCAGGCCCCAGUUGGGAAGGAUCCCCUUUCAGGACAAUGGCUCCAGGCCAAGGGCAACGCUGUUUCUGUGCGUCCUGAUGACUGACCUGCGUCCACAGGGAAGCGUAUCUGGGCUCCUUUUUUCCAGGCUGUGUUGGGAGCACCUUGAAAUGGGCACUGGUGGAUUUCAAUUCCAGCCUUCCGGAAGCCAUUCCAAAUGGAAACUGAGCUAAGGGAUGUAGGUGGA